CCUACGGGAGGCAGCAGUGAGGAAUAUUGGUCAAUGGCCGGAAGGCUGAACCAGCCAAGCCGCGUGAAGGACGAAGGUGCCAAGCAUUGUAAACUUCUUUUGUCAAGGGACAAAAUCAGGCUCGAGAGCCUGACCGAGGGUACUUGAAGAAAAAGCAUCGGCUAACUCCGUGCCCGCAGACGCGGUAAUACGGAGUAUGCGAGCGUUAUCCGGAUUUAUUGGGUUUAAAGGGUGCGUAGGCGGACUGUUAAGUCAGAGGUAAAAGCCCGGGGCACAACCCCGGCGAGCCGUUGAAACUGGCGGUCUUGAGAUGUCGAGAGGUAUGCGGAAUGCGCAGUGGAGCGGUGAAAUGCUUAGAUAUUGCGCAGAACUCCGAUUACGAAGGCAGCAUACCGGCGGCGAUCUGACGCUGAGGCACGAAAGCGUGGGUAUCGAACAGGAUUAGAUACCCUGGUAGUC
rnacentral:rRNA from 1 species